rnacentral:lncRNA from 1 species
CAGAGGGAUUUAGAGCAGGCGUUAAGCUUGAAGCUCUGAAGUCUGCUGUGAGAAUGAAAUGAGAUAGCAAAGCUGUGCCUGAAGUCAGGUCUACCCUUUGGACUUUCUCUUCAAUUUAAGUCAUUUUUAGUAGUGUUUCUGCCUCUUGGAAUCUAAAGGAGCCACAUGAAUGUAAUGAAGUUAUGUGCCAGGUGCUAUGAGGCGAUGAGAAGGAAGAAGAGUAUGUACCACUGUCUUCCUGGAGGAAGUGACACAGGACCUGAGUCUUGAAAGCCCAGUAGGACUUAGCCAGCUCAAGGGAUUCUGAGCAGAGUGAACCACAUAAGAAAUUACGUAGGAGCAUGACAGUUUGUGCCGUGUUUUGGAGAUCAAUGCAGUUCAUUGUUAUUGGAGUGAGGUCAGCAGUAGUGGAACAUUAGGUGGAUGAAUAAAUGUCACUAUCUCCAUCCCCAA